rnacentral:rRNA from 1 species
GACAGAGGAUGCAAGCGUUAUCCGGAAUGAUUGGGCGUAAAGCGUCUGUAGGUGGCUUUUUAAGUCCGCCGUCAAAUCCCAGGGCUCAACCCUGGACAGGCGGUGGAAACUACCAAGCUGGAGUACGGUAGGGGCAGGAGGGAAUUUCCGGGUGGAGCGGUGAAAUGCAUAGAUAUCUACCAGAACGCCGAUAGCGAAGGCAGCUCGCUGGGGACGUACCGGACGCUGAGGCACGAUAGCGUGGGGAUCAAACAGG